CCCGCCACUAUGCCUGUCUGUACGAGUGAUACGGUGUAUUCCAGUGGGGGCUGAGAGUGACCCAGCUCUAGGAAGCAGGGCUGCUCAGACACGUGGGCAGCUCUGUGCCGAAAGGCCUGGAACAAAC